CACCCCCUGCCCCCGCAGGUUAUGCAGCUGUGCUCAGCUCAGCCCUUGGCUCUGCCUUGUAACUUUCCAUUCUCCCUGUAUCAAUUUGUCUCCCACAAGACACAAUUAAUUAAUGCUACAAAAUCAGUGUCUGUUAGGAAUUACCACGUGUUCACCAGGAUUUCCCACAUUCCUGGAUCCUUCACUUCCAAGUGGCUUCCUUUUCCUUCGGGCUCACGAACACUUCUACACUUUCUUCCAGUGCAAGUCUGCGUGACCUCUAUACCCAACGUGGGGCUUGAACUCGGAGAUCAAGAGUCACCCGCUCCAGGGACCCAGCCAGACGCCCCUUCUUCUGUUCUUAAUGGCAGCCUGACCCCUUCAGGCCAGCCUUACCGUGAGUGAAUGCGGGCUGCAGAAAGGCCAGAGAAAAGCAGCUUCGGUGUUGGGGUUGGGGAGCUCCGCGGCUAAUGUUGGAUUCCGGCGUGACUGUGGGCAGGAGCAGAGCACAGGGGCCACGGGGUC